GUCCACGCCGUAAACGAUGGAUACUAGGUGUAGGGGGUAUAAACUCCCUCUGUGCAGCAGCAAACGCAAUAAGUAUCCCACCUGGGGGAGUACGACCGCAAGGUUGAAACUCAAAGGAAUUGACGGGGACCCCGCACAAGCAGUGGAGUAUGUGGAUUAAUUCGAAGCAACGCGAAGAACCUUACCAAGGCUUGACAUUAUUUUGAAUUAGGUGGAAACAUCUAAGUCUUCGGACAAAUACAGGUGUGCAUGGUUGUCGU
rnacentral:rRNA from 1 species